rnacentral:tRNA from 1 species
AGGAGGCUAGUUAAAUUAUAAUGCUGGUUUGUCAGGCCAGGGUUACACCGGAGUGUGUGCCUCUUU